rnacentral:rRNA from 1 species
GAUAAACGCUAGCGGCAGGCCUAACACAUGCAAGUCGAGGGGUAACAGGUGUAGCAAUACAUGCUGACGACCGGCGCACGGGUGAGUAACGCGUAUGCAACCUACCUUUAACAGGAGGAUAGCCCCGAGAAAUCGGGAUUAAUACUCCAUAAAAUUUUAAUACCGCAUGGUAAAAAAAUUAAAGUUUCGGCGGUUAAAGAUGGGCAUGCGUGACAUUAGUUAGUUGGUGAGGUAACGGCUCACCAAGACAGCGAUGUCUAGGGGUUCUGAGAGGAUUAUCCCCCACACUGGUACUGAGACACGGACCAGACUCCUACGGGAGGCAGCAGUGAGGAAUAUUGGUCAAUGGUCGAAAGACUGAACCAGCCAUGCCGCGUGCAGGAUGAAGGCGCU